GGAGUUUGGGCCGUGUCUCAGUCCCAAUGUGGCCGUUCACCCUCUCAGGCCGGCUACUGAUCGUUGCCUUGGUGGGCCGUUACCUCACCAACAAGCUAAUCAGACGCGGGUCCAUCAUAUACCACCUCAGUUUUUCACACCGUGUCAUGCGACUCUGUGCGCUUAUGCGGUAUUAGCACCUAUUUCUAAGUGUUAUCCCCCUGUAUAUGGCAGGUUACCCACGCGUUACUCACCCGUCCGCCACUAAAACGAUCCAAGAUUCCACCGAAGCUUCCUCAGCGGAUCGUUCCCGUUCGACUUGCAUGUGUUAAGCACGCCGCCAGCGUUCAUC
rnacentral:rRNA from 1 species